rnacentral:lncRNA from 1 species
AGCAGAAGAGGUGGGGAGCUUCUAUGAGCCUUACAGUAAGAAGAGGAGAGGGGACGUCAGGUGGGGCCUUGGCAGGGCCUGAGGCACAGAGCUGACGCUUGAGGCGAAGCCUGAAGAGCCAGGCCUGGGCUCACUUGGAAUCACCCUGUGUCUGGAAAGGGGAUCCUGGGGGAGACGUGACCGUUGGGCUGUAUGCCGAGGUCCUGCGAGCCUCGUAGUAGCCCAGCCUCAAGACCAAAGAGCCCAGAGACAGAGACAACAACUUAUCAGAUGGGGGAAUCUUACAUAGCUGAAGCCACAUCCUGGAGCAACACCCCACUGUGGACGGCAGACGGCAGGCAGGACAUGGCAGCACCGUCUGCUACUCUGGAGGAGGAGGCGGCUACCAGUUAUAGAGAGCAUUGACUUUAGAUGGGCUCAUCAGUUACCAGGGAAACCAGCUGGGGGCAGGGGCAGGCAUGUGGACAGUCACAGAUAAAGGCCUAUGAUUAACAGGAUUGAACAGUCCUGUGUGUGAAGUAGGGACUGGUGGAGCAGGAGAUGCACAGACAGCAAGUGAACAGCCAUCUUGAGUGGCCUGGCCAUACACCCACACAUCUUGCAUGACUCUUAUAAUCCUGGCCCUGCCCCUCUUCUGAGAUAUCCCUGGGGUCAGGUAUGCAGAGGUGCAUUGCAACCAGAUACCACAAAUAUAACUACAGAUUGUUGUUUUUGCUGUUUAGUCUCUAAGUUGUUUUCAAUUCUUUUGCAACCCCAUGAUAACAGUAGCUAGAAGAAUACCAAGAAUUCCCAGGUGGUGCAGUGGUAAAGAAUCAGCCUGCCAACACAGAAGACACAAGAGACACCGGUUCGAUCCCUGGGUCAGGAAGAUCCCUGGAGUAGAAGUGGCUACCCACUCCAGUAUUCUUGCCUGGGAAAUCCCGUGGACAGAGGAGCCUGGCAGGCCACAGUCCAGGGGGUCGCAGAGUCGGACACGACUGAGUGCACACACAAUCAAGAGUAAGACACAAAGAAUGCUAACGAUAGUCAUUCCCCAAGAGGUGGGCCAACUUUGGGUGAAGUUUUCAUGGAAGUCCAGAGGGAGACCCUGCAGUCAGACUUGCCGAUGGUGACGCCAGGACUUCCCUGGUGGCUCAAUGGUGGGAAGUCCACCAGCCAAUGCAGGGGACACGAGUUUGGUCCCUGGUCUAAGAAGAGCCCACAUGUCUUGGAGCAACUAAGCCCUGCACCAUAACUACCGAAGCCUGCACAUUCCAGAGCCUGAGAGUCACAACUAACUAGCCCCUGUGCUGCAACUGCUGCAGCCCGUGCGCCUAGAGCCUGAGCUCCACAAAAGAAGCCACUGCAGUGGGAAGCCUGUGCUCUGCAGCUAGAGUCGCCCCCACUCUCCACAACUAGAGAAAACCCACGCCAACAACGAAGACAGCGCAGCCUUAAACAAGUAAAUAAAAUGGUGAGGCCACCACUGUCACCUGGUCCCCAGAUUCCCUCUGCUCAGGCUGGG